ACCUCUGUACAAACUUUAAAGAUUCUGCCAGGUGGGUGGGGAGAGCUGCUUGUCUUGUGGCCUCAAGACAAGCCUCAUCUGUAAGUUCGUUGGCUUAGUAACCGUGCCCCCUUCCCAGUCUGGAGUGGUCUGCUUCUUUCUAGGUCUCUCCUUGCCUUCUGUGUGCAGGACCAGUUUGCAAACCAGCACCACGGUUAUCCCCAUUUUUCGGAGAAACUGAGUCUCGGAGCCCAGUCUGAACUAGAAGCCCAAGCAGAAGCUGCUUUCCUGAGGCCCCAGUGCCUCUUGCAGGGGCAGGGAAUUAGGCUGGAGGGGUGGUGCAAGGACACAGUCUGAAGGCGACCCUGGUCUUUCUGGGUAGGGGCCAGGGGACAGAUAAGGAACCCAGGCUUGGGGGCGGGGCUGGGAGCCUUAGCAACGUGGAGCUCCCCGUUGGAGCAGCUGGGGCCACGCUGAGGUGGGGCCACCUGUCUUCUUGCGAACCUCCCACCUCUGCAGACUGACUGGGAUCCAAGCAACUGAGUCAGGGGAGGGCGAAAGAGCAGCUGAGAGGGCAGUUCCAGGAGGGCCCGUCAGAACACGAGAGAGAGACGGCGUACAGAAGAGAGACGGCGUACAGAGUCCCAGCCCAGCCCACCCCGAGGGAAACUGCCCAGUUUCGGAUGAAUUUUCACUUUGUGUGCAUGUCCUUUAUAUACGUAAAAUUAGGAACAUAUGACUUUUUUCACUUUAUGACAUAAACACUUCCUGCUCAUCUUCCUGUGUGAUGAAGUACGCUUCUGCUUCCAAAGCCACACAGUAUCUCUGGUAUGAAGCUCUCAUCAUGUAUUUCGCACUGCCUCUUGCUUGCUUUCCUUUGUUGUUGUUUGUUUGGGGGGUUGAGUUUGAGGUUGUUGUUGGCUUUGGUUUGCUUUUGUGGUUUUUAUUGGGUUUUACUGAUGACGCGGUGACAGGUGUCCUUGUGGAUAAAUGCUGUGCUGCAGUCAUGGUCGAUCUCUUACCAUACACUCCUGCACGUGGGCCGCAGGGUAGGCACGCCUCAGGGGUUUGACACCCUCCAGAGCAGCGGUGCCACGUUACUGUGCUCAUGCCACUCAGGAGUGAGACUGUUGUGAGACAAGGGUGGCAAUUGUGGGUCACAACACGUUUCAAAAUCUGGUACUGCCUUUCCUGCCUCAAGCUGGGUGCAUUUCUCUCUCCUCAAGAUCAGUGUAAUCUUUCAUUUAACUCAUCAUUUCCCUCAAACUCUUCCUUUCCCAUCAUCCCCAGUUGAUGGCUAGAAUUAAAUCCACUCUCCAGUUGUCCUGGGAUAAAGUCGUGGUUCCUUUCUUUCUGCUCCUCACCUUUGCCUGUACCGAAGUCUCAAGACAGGUUUUGAAUCUCUCAAUUGGAUAAGCCAAAUUGUUUAUUUUGAUAUUUUAUUUUGCAUGCCUUUCAACACAUAUCAAAAUUACAUUUUUUUCAUAUGUUCAUUGGCCACUUGUAGUUUUCUUUUAAAUUGUAGGGAGUAAUUUUUUUAUUGAGAUAUAAUUGACAUAUAAAUUGUGUACCUUUAAGGUGUACACAUGUUGGUUUGGUACAUUUAUAUAUUGCAAUUUGAUUACCACCAGUAGUGUUAGCUCACACCUCCAUCACAUCACAUAAUUAUCAUUUCUUUUUUGUAGUAUGAAUCAUUAAGAUCUAGUCUCUUAGCAACUUUGAAGUUCAUGAUACAAUAUUGUUGACUAUAAUCGCUAUGCUGUGCAUUAGAUCUCCAGAACUUAUUCAUCUACUUGUUGCAAGUGUGUAUCCUUAAAUAACUGAUCCCUGAUUUUCCCGCCUCCCAGCCCCUGCUACCCAUCAUUCUACUCUCUGUUUGGCUUUCUUGGAUUCUACAUAAUGUAACAUCAUAUAGUAUUUGUCUUUUUCUGUUGUUCUUGUCUCACUUAGCAUAAUGCCCUCAAGGUCCAUCCAUGUUGUCACAAUUGGAAGGACUUCCUUCUUUUUCCACUACUGAAUAAUAUUCCUUUGUGUGUGUGUGUGUGUGUGUGUGUGUGUGUGUGUGUAUCUCACAUCUUCUUUAUCCAUUCAUCCACUGAUGGAUAAUUAACCUUUUUUAUUUUUAAAUAGCCACACCACGUGGCUUGUGGGAUCUCACUUCCCCAACCAGGGAUUGAACCCGGGCCAUGGUAGUGAAAGCCCAGUAUGCUAACCACUAGGCCACCAGCGAACUCCCCACUGAUGGAUACUUAGAUUGUUUCCAUGUCUUGGCUAUUGUGUAUAAUGUUGCAAUAAACAUGGGAGUUCAGA